rnacentral:lncRNA from 1 species
CCCAGUGCCCGGGUCAAUGCGCGUGGCCGUUCCACCAGCCGAUGUACGGCCCCCAGACGCCGCCUCUGGUGGCUCCGAACGGCGACGUGGGAGUGGACGGGAUGGUGAUCAAUUUAGCCACCCUUCUGGCCAACACCGUGACGAACCCCUUCAACGGCGGGUACUUCCAGGGUCCGCCGACUGCGCCGCUGGAGGCGGUGUCGGCGUGUACGGGGGUAUUCGGGAGCGGAGCGUACCCGGGAUAUCCAGGGCGGCUGCUGGUGGAGAAGAGCAGCGGGGCGAGCUACAAUGCGCAAGGAGUGAAUGGGAGGAGGUACCUGGUGCCAGCGAUGUGGGACCCAGAGACUUCAGCAUGCGCCACGCUUGUGUAAAAGUAGUAGGGAGUGUGUAGAUACUGGUGGCUUCUUCUAUACGCAAAGUCUGUCGUGUUGCUUGACCUGUAAAUUGCCUUGCCUCCCCCAAAAUGGAAAAGAACAAAAAAAAAUAAUAAAGUGGAGAGUGUUAUAAAGUUAAGGACAUAGGAAUUGGCACGGGAAAUGAUUAUGAAUGUGUAUGGAUUGACGAUGAUGAUGGGUGUGGAAUAAAUAAAGGAGUGGGCAGCUUGACCGACCACGUUCAAUUGGAGUGUUGUUAGGGCAAGGAUUUUGGUGGGUGGGUGGGUUUAGUAUCAAAUCCAUGAAGGAGAUGAGUGGAAGUGGAAGAGAGUUCAUGAUGAAAAUUCCAAAUUAAUUUUAAAAUCAAAUGAGAUGAUGAUUGUUGCAGAGGAAUUAUGGUGG